rnacentral:rRNA from 1 species
UACGUAGGGUGCGAGCGUUGUCCGGAAUUAUUGGGCGUAAAGAGCUCGUAGGCGGCCUGUCGCGUCGGAUGUGAAAGCCCGGGGCUUAACCCCGGGUCUGCAUUCGAUACGGGCAGGCUGGAGUGUGGUAGGGGAGAUCGGAAUUCCUGGUGUAGCGGUGAAAUGCGCAGAUAUCAGGAGGAACACCGGUGGCGAAGGCGGUUCUCUGGGCCUGUACUGACGCUGAGGAGCGAAAGCGUGGGGAGCAAACAGG